rnacentral:rRNA from 1 species
CUACGCUGCGAUAAGCCGUGGGGAGCUGCGAAGAAGCUUUGAUCCACGGAUUUCCGAAUGGGGAAACCCACCUUCGAUAGCCGGAACUCCAAGACCUUGUGUUUUGGGGUUCGACCAGAAAUGGAAGAAACCAGACCGCGAGGUUUUGGAUUUCCGGUUAUCAAGAGAAGGUAUGAGACUUCCGAAUAAAAUAAGAGGUUUUAAGCAAACCCAGGGAACUGAAACAUCUAAGUACCUGGAGGAAAGGACAUCAAUCGAGACUCCGUUAGUAGUGGCGAGCGAACGCGGACCAGGCCAGUGAUACAUCAAAGACAAUCGGAACCUGUCAGGAAAGCAGGGCCUCAGAGGGUGAUAGCCCCGUACGAGUAAUGCGAUGAUGUAUCCACGAGUAAGGCGGGACACGUGUAAUCCUGUCUGAACACGGGGGGACCACCCUCCAAGCCUAAGUACUCCUCAGCGACCGAUAGU